UUACUGUUAUCUUUCAAUAACUUGUAGAUUUAGCAGCGGAAAUAAGAUUGCACAAACGAAGCAAUGAAUAAGAUGAGGAAAGCAAUCAGAAGUAUGCAGUGGAGGAAGAGAGAGAAAUCACACACAUAAACACCAAGGUUUAUAGUGGUUCGGUGCACUCGCAGCACCUACGUCCACUCCCCAAGCAAAGCUUGAGAUUUCACUAUAACCCAGCAGAUUACAGCCAAUGAAGAAGAUGGCUGUGGAAGAAUGUCGCAAUGCUUGAGCAGCAGCUCUUCUCGAUUUAAUGAGAAGCUUCGAUUGAUUUUCUCACAGGAAUAAGUUUCAGAUGAGUGCCGGUGAGGAUGAU
rnacentral:lncRNA from 1 species